rnacentral:piRNA from 1 species
UCUGUAGCGAAUUGUGUAUCUAAUCAGCCA